rnacentral:rRNA from 1 species
UACGUAGGGGGCAAGCGUUGUUCGGAAUCAUUGGGCGUAAAGGGCGCGUAGGUGGUUCUGUAUGUCUACCGUGAAAGCAUACAGCUCAACUGUAUUUUGUCGGUAGAAACUGCAGGACUUGAGGCUGGGAGGGGCUGGUGGAAUUCCCUGUGUAGCGGUGAAAUGCGUAGAGAUGGGGGAGAACACUCGUGGCGAAGGCGGCCAGCUAGACCAGUUCUGACACUGAGGCGCGACAGCGUGGGGGAGCAAACAGG